rnacentral:lncRNA from 1 species
GAUGCUUGCUGACCCCAGGAGCGUAACUCCCAUGGAGGGCAUACCUGACCUGCCACUUGGAGCCAUGCCCAGCCAGAUUUAGACAAGAGGAGCCAAACUCCAGACGAACCAGAUGCCUGAAAAGACUCUUUGUUUUUGCCAUUCUGUGCAAGAGCUAAGCAGAAUACAGCAAAGAGAAAUGGGGCAGGCCCAGGUAUCCAGGAGAUGGGAGAGAAUUUGCAUUCCGACUGUGGAAUUCAUCAAAAGGCUAUUCUUCCUGCCUCCACUGGAAGGUACAAUUCAGGUUGGGGGCUAUUGAAAACAAGACUCUACCUCUUUCUUCAAAUUCUAACUGGCGGGGGUGGGGGCUCUGAAGGUGACCUUGUGCCCCCAGAUGUCCCCGGUGGACUUGACAGUUGAAAGCUGUUGAUGCUCCUUCCAAAUCUGAGGCUGCUGGUGUUUUCAAAAAGGAAGAAAUGCCCUAAGAUGGUUCCCCCCAAAUAAGCUGGCUACAGCGGAUGGUGACUUUUGGCAAAAUCACGCAUUUAACAUACCCAAUACACACACACACACACACACACACACACGGAGAAUUGUGUGUGUAGCUCCAGUUGAGGAAAAUGUCCAAAGUUUGGAUUUGAGGAACAGGAUGGAAAUAAGGUGCCACCAGAGGCCACCCGUGCCCUCCAACCCGACCCCAACCCCCAUCGGGAUGGUUUGGUCCAAGAUACUUCACAGAGAGAACGACCCCCGCCAACCACACACAACCCCCCCACUUCCAUGAAAGACGUCUCAUCCAUCAUUUGCCCACCUCCCCAAGAAGCAUUAUGCAUCGUUUAAUUCCAACUCUUUUUCGUGUUUCCUUUUAAAAACCAUAGACUUCCAAGAGAGACUUCCCCCGAAAGCAAAGCAUUCUCCAUGGGUUUGGAAUAAACCUGCAAAAUCCUCUCAACUCCCCUUUACCACACACACACACUGAAACCCAGCUCCAGCGCUGUGUCUGCAUCAUCCCACUUCUGCCUCUUCCACACAGACUUAUUUCAUAAAAACGUCAGCUAUUAAGUUAACAUUAUUUAAGGGGCUGUGGGUGUUUAGUUCCUGAAUGCAACCUAAGCUGGAUGGGGAGAGGGGAGAGGCCUGACGUGAAGGCCUGGCUGUAUAAAACAUGAUCCACAGAGAAGCUACAUAAAUAACCCGACCGUGGGCUCCCAGCGCCUCUCUAUUUAUCACUGAAGUAACGAUAAGGAUCUGCUUUAGAGUGAACCCUGCUGAGGGUCCAGCCCCGGCACAAGCUGUAAUAUGAUCUGCAGGGGAGGGCUGAUAACCCGACACAAUGUGAAGAAACCCGGGCAGAGGAAUAAGACAAACUGUUCGUCCAUUAAACGGCGCUGUCAGGAAGGGGGCCGCGAAGCCAAACAGAGCUCCAUCCAAUUCUUGCGUGGAGACACAAAGCCAGGAACACCUGAACCGAGCUGGGGAAAUAACCUCCCUCAGAAACAAGCGGAGGUGGGGUCAGGGGAAGGGGGAAGCGGUCUCUCAGGCACAGCCUGCACCCCCCCUGGGGUGGGGUCUCUCCAUCAGUGAAAUGGGAUCCAUCCGCUUGGUGGCCCCUCCCUCCCUGGGUGGUUGGGGUGAUCCCAUGGUCGAGGGACCUCCAGAGGGUCCUGAGGAAGAAGGAGACGACUCCACGAAGGCCAGGAAUGCAGAGGCCACGCUGGUUAUAGAAGUGCUGGAACCACCCAAGGAAGAUGAAGGGCUCGUUCAGCUCCAGGAGCUGUAGUGACGCAGCGCCUUCAACGUGGCGGCACAGAAGCCCAGGCCGCUGCCACCAAGUCUGAAUCUUUCUUUCAAAAGAAGCUCCAGAUACGAUCUUUCCUGGGAAAUUUCAAGGAUUCGGUGUUUGCUGUUACUGAGAAUUUUUUUUUUUUUCUCCCUGUAUUCUGUGUGCUUUUCGUUUAAAAAUUCCUUGUAUUGAG